AGUGAACGCUGGCGGUAGGCCUAACACAUGCAAGUCGAACGGCAGCACAGUAAGAGCUUGCUCUUACGGGUGGCGAGUGGCGGACGGGUGAGGAAUACAUCGGAAUCUACUUUUUCGUGGGGGAUAACGUAGGGAAACUUACGCUAAUACCGCAUACGACCUACGGGUGAAAGCAGGGGAUCUUCGGACCUUGCGCGAUUGAAUGAGCCGAUGUCGGAUUAGCUAGUUGGCGGGGUAAAGGCCCACCAAGGCGACGAUCCGUAGCUGGUCUGAGAGGAUGAUCAGCCACACUGGAACUGAGACACGGUCCAGACUCCUACGGGAGGCAGCAGUGGGGAAUAUUGGACAAAGGGCGCAAGCCUGAUCCAGCCAUACCGCGUGGGUGAAGAAGGCCUUCGGGUUGUAAAGCCCUUUUGUUGGGAAAGAAAAGUAGCAGGUUAAUACCCCGCUGUUCUGACGGUACCCAAAGAAUAAGCACCGGCUAACUUCGUG
rnacentral:rRNA from 1 species